AAGUCCAUCACUAAACUAUGCCCCGAAGGGCGACAUCUACACGUCUGGUAAAUACCUCCAGGCAUAGUGAUACGUGACAGCUACAGAUGAUAUCCUGUGAUGACUGAAAGGGCAAACACUGUGGGACUGAAGUGUGAGGGAGCAGUUCAUUUAUGAAAUGUGAAGAUUCCAGAAAGCUCAAUGUAGCUGCAAGAUCUUUAGAAAGCUGGUUCAGUAUUUAAAAUUACCCUCCUAAGACUGAGAAACAAGUUGAAAGAGAAACAAACUCCAGUUUGGGCAUCUGAUACAAGAUUAUAUUUACGCCUUCUAGUUCAAAAAAACCCAUGGCAUAUCUGGAGUAUAGGUACCAUAAAAGUGGGUCUAGAAAGCUUGAUCUGUGAAGGAAGAUCGUAGUUAAGCUCAGGUGGCCUGAAGAGUGGCAAAUGACAAGAGAGGAAUAACCUUCAGCUACAUACAUAUUACCCUAAGACAGGCACAAGAGCUGUCACCAGUGGAAGGGGAGGAACAGAGAAUAAGUUGACAGUGACAUUUAGUAUUUGAUAUUUUAAAAGAAACACAGAACUUUAAAACUAUUCUCUUCUAAAUGUUGAACUAGUUCCUCCAGAUCCCUGCCACUGAAAGGCAGCAGUCUCAGAGUCGAUACAGGCCGAACAACACCUUUCAGGAACAGCUUCAGCACAGAACUGUAGGCUGGGGCUGGAGCAGGAAAACCUGGUUCCUGCACAUAAUGCAAUAGCAAUGCUGCAUGUAACAACAAGGUGUUAUUAAAUGGCUUGCAGGGGGACAAAAAAAGUAUACACAGAGAAAGUGAUGAGUUAUGCUCUUAAAAGUAGGUGUUAAAUCAACUCAAUACAAGUUUAGUGCCCAUUGCACCAUCUUUGAACAUAACAUGACAGAGCUGCCUGCCAAGGAAGCCAGCAUGUUGAACUGCCAUUCCCAUCAAACAUUUUCUGGCUCUAUAAGGAACAGGACAUGAGUUGAAAAUGUGAGUCAGUAAUUUUCAGACAAGAAACCCCACAAACCCCAAACCUAGCACAUCCCAGAAUGGUUACUUCAAAUAACUACAUUGUAUUUGAAUGAUCAAGCGGUGAUGUUCUGCAAUUACAUGCCAUGCAAGAAAUAAAUUGUCACUACG
rnacentral:lncRNA from 1 species